rnacentral:rRNA from 1 species
GACGAACGCUGGCGGCGUGCCUAACACAUGCAAGUCGAACGGAAGUAAGUGCUUCGGUAUUUACUUUAGUGGCGAACGGGUGAGUAACGCGUGAGGAACCUGCCUUUCAGUGGGGGACAACAGUUGGAAAUGACUGCUAAUACCGCAUAAGACCACGGAGCCGCAUGGCUCUGUGGGAAAAACUCCGGUGGUAUGAGAUGGACCCGCGUCUGAUUAGGUAGUUGGUGGGGUAACGGCCCACCAAGCCGACGAUCAGUAGCCGACCUGAGAGGGUGACCGGCCACAUUGGGACUGAGACACGGCCCAA